CAAAAAUAUUAACGCUUUGUCUAUUCAAUUCCUCACUAGUUCUCAAAGCCCAGGUUUUGUUAUUUCUCAUAAAGAAACCAAAAUCCUGUGGUUCAGUCCUGGAUUUACACAGCCCAAAUGACAGGAUACUGAAGCAAGCAAGAGAGAGAAGCUGAUCACUCAUCCACUCCAUCAUCACCAUGCUCUUAAAGCUCUCUGUGUUUUUCAUUUCACAUCGUGUAUCAGUAAAAAUGUGGCAAUGACAAGAUACUAUUUCACUUUGUGAUACGAUGUGUUGGAAUAAAAAAAAGGAUGGAAAGUUUAUUGUCCUUCCAAGAAUAACAGACAUUUAUAUUUUGGAAAGAUGAGUUGUCUUUCAAACUUCACCAAGGAAUUAUAAAGAGUUAUGUCAGAACAUGGCAUGUAAAUUGAGGCUGCCAGCAUCUGGUGAGGGUCAUUCCAUGGCCAGAAGCAUCACAUGGUGAGAGCACAAGCACAAAAGAGAAAAUCAGAACAAAUAUAUACUUUUUAUCAGAAAUCCACUUCCACAGUAAGUAACCAACUCCUGCAAUAAUGGCAUUAAUUCAAUUGUGAAGAUGAACCCCUCAGAACAUA
rnacentral:lncRNA from 1 species